rnacentral:rRNA from 1 species
GAUGAACGCUGACAGCAUGCUUAACACAUGCAGUCACCGAUUGUGGCGGACGGGCGAGUAACGCGUACAGAACUUGCCUCACAGGAAGGGACAACAUUUGGAACCGAAUGCUAAUUCCUAAUACUGUAAGAGAGCUUUGCGUCCCCGUAGCUAGUUGGAGAGGUAACGGCGCACCAAGGCGAGGAAGGGUAGCCGGCCUGAGAGGUUGAUCGGCCACAAGGGGACAGGGACACGGGCCUUACUCAGACGGGAGGCAGCAGUGGGGAAGUGAGGACAAUGGACCAAAGACUGAUACAGGAAUUCUGUGUGCAAGACGAAGUUUUCGGAAAGAAAAGUGCUUUCAGUUGGGAAGCGGUACCAACAGAAGAAGUGACGGCUAAAUACGUGCCAGCAGCCGCGGUAAUUC